rnacentral:rRNA from 1 species
AUUGAACGCUGGCGGCAGGCUUAACACAUGCAAGUCGAGCGGAGAUGAGGUGCUUGCACCUUAUCUUAGCGGCGGACGGGUGAGUAAUGCUUAGGAAUCUGCCAUUUAGUGGGGGACAACAUUCCGAAAGGAAUGCUAAUACCGCAUACGUCCUACGGGAGAAAGCAGGGGAUCUUCGGACCUUGCGCUAAAUGAUGAGCCUAAGUCGGAUUAGCUAGUUGGUGGGGUAAAGGCCUACCAAGGCGACGAUCUGUAGCGGGUCUGAGAGGAUGAUCCGCCACACUGGGACUGAGACACGGCCCAGACUCCUACGGGAGGCAGCAGUGGGGAAUAUUGGACAAUGGGGGGAACCCUGAUCCAGCCAUGCCGCGUGUGUGAAGAAGGCCUUAUGGUUGUAAAGCACUUUAAGCGAGGAGGAGGCUACUUUAGUUAAUACCUAGAGAUAGUGGACGUUACUCGCAGAAUAAGCACCGGCUAACUCUGUGCCAGCAGCCGCAGUAA